rnacentral:rRNA from 1 species
UACGGGGGGAGCAAGCGUUGUUCGGAUUUACUGGGCGUAAAGGGCGCGUAGGCGGCCACCGCAAGUCGAUUGUGAAAUCUCCGGGCUUAACCCGGAAAGGUCAACCGAUAUUGCGGGGCUAGAGUGCAGAAGGGGCAACUGGAAUUCUCGGUGUAGCGGUGAAAUGCGUAGAUAUCGAGAGGAACACCUGCGGCGAAGGCGGGUUGCUGGGCUGACACUGACGCUGAUGUGCGAAAGCUAGGGGAGCGAACGGG